rnacentral:rRNA from 1 species
GACGAACGCUGGCGGCGUGCUUAACACAUGCAAGUCGAACGGAAAGGCCCUGCUUUUGUGGGGUGCUCGAGUGACGAACGGGUGAGUAACACGUGAGUAACCUGCCCUUGACUUUGGGAUAACUUCAGGAAACUGGGGCUAAUACCGGAUAGGAGCUCCUGCUGCAUGGUGGGGGUUGGAAAGUUUCGGCGGUUGGGGAUGGACUCGCGGCUUAUCAGCUUGUUGGUGGGGUAGUGGCUUACCAAGGCUUUGACGGGUAGCCGGCCUGAGAGGGUGACCGACCACAUUGGGACUGAGAUACGGCCCAGCCUCCUCCGGGAGGCAGCAGUGGGGAAUAUUGCACAAUGGGCGGAAGCCUGAUGCAGCAACGCCGCGUGCGGGAUGACGGCCUUCGGGUUGUAACCCGCUUUCGCCUGUGACGAAGCGUGAGUGACGGUAAUGGGUAAAGAAGCACCGGCUAACUACGUG